AUUGAACGCUGGCGGCAGGCCUAACACAUGCAAGUCGAACGGUAACAGGAAGAAGCUUGCUUCUUUGCUGACGAGUGGCGGACGGGUGAGUCAUGUCUGGGAAACUGCCUGAUGGAGGGGGAUAACUACUGGAAACGGUAGCUAAUACCGCAUAAUGUCGCAAGACCAAAGAGGGGGACCUUCGGGCCUCUUGCCAUCGGAUGUGCCCAGAUGGGAUUAGCUAGUAGGUGGGGUAACGGCUCACCUAGGCGACGAUCCCUAGCUGGUCUGAGAGGAUGACCAGCCACACUGGAACUGAGACACGGUCCAGACUCCUACGGGAGGCAGCAGUGGGGAAUAUUGCACAAUGGGCGCAAGCCUGAUGCAGCUAUGCCGCGUGUAUGAAGAAGGCCUUCGGGUUGUAAAGUACUUUCAGCGGGGAGGAAGGGAGUAAAGUUAAUACCUUUGCUCAUUGACGUUACCCGCAGAAGAAGCACCGGCUAACUCCGUG
rnacentral:rRNA from 1 species